UCCUGUAAGUAUAUACAUUUAUUUGAGUUUCUUUUUCUAAUGCUCUGAAAUAAAUACACUUAAAGCAAAAGUCUGUUAAAGCUAAAGUGUUUUUAUUUUUAUUUUUUAACAGAUAUGCCCAGCACUCAAGUUCUGAACGAAGGUGGGUUAGCAAUUUGCAUAUGCAUUAACGACAUUGCUCAUGGGACCGCCUUUUGAGUUUGCUUAUAAAACAGGAUAACUUUUUACCAGUUCUAGAGAUCUUGACAACUAAUGAAGAGCUGGGGCCAAGUCUACCAACAAAUCCACAAACAUCGGAGCAAGGGCGGAUCAACCCUGCCAAGGAGAACGCAAGCUUAUUGACACCUACACUUAUUUGUAAGAAUCCAUUCUUUAAACUGUUUAGUAUGCUGUUUGAAGGAUUUACAGUUAUUUACAGAUACUCUUUAUUAUACAGGUCAAGAAGAACCAGAAAAAACUUUUGAAGAGGGUAAAAAAUCCCAUCUAAAGCUCCGCAAAAAAAGGAAAUGUUUUAGCGAAUCAGGUCCUGAGAACCACGUGGCGGAGAGGGUCGUGGGAGAAAUGGUGGUGAAACAGACCACAACACAAAAGCCUAAACUGCUUGAAGAGUUAACAGCUGAGGAAGCCCCUGGACACCGAGAGGACUACAGUGCUGAGGAAAGCAACCAACAAGCUCGGAUAUCACACCUCCAGGAGCAACCAGCUGAGGAAGCCCCUGGACAUCGAGAGGACUGCAGUGCUGAGGAAAGCAACCAACAAGCCCGGAUAUCACACCUCCAGGAGCAACCAGCUGCUGAAGCAAUUAUCCAGAAGCCAGAGGACGCAGAAAGGCGAUCCUUUAAGGAACAAGUGCAUUUGUAAGCUCUGAAAAUCUUCAGUCGUGAGUUACGUCUGAACAACGUCUCACAGUUUUGAAGGAGUCUGAGUUUCGUUUGGCUGAACAACGUCUCGCAGUGUUUCAGAAAUUCUUCGAAAAAUAUUAGAAAUGGCACAGAGGCAACAACCAGAUCAGUUACGCUGGGCACACAGCACAGAGAGUAUUAACUCACAAAUUUUACAAGCAAUUAAUGUUAGAAAUCAAGGCAACUCCCACAAGCUGCUGAAAACAUUCAACAUGCUUUCAUAAACCCAGAUCUGCUACAUCUUGUUAAUAAUAUUAACCAGGAUACUAACGUCAUGCAUGAAAUGGCUGGAGACUACUUUGAUCGGUUGAACGAGGCUUUGGCAAACCUUACCGCUGGUGAUGGUGAACUAACCCCUGCAGCAGACUAUAUUGGUUUUCUGAAUGAGGCUUUAAAUCAACUAAACCAGGACGGGGGGCAUCUUAAUGAAUUACCACUAACACCUACAGCUGCUAACAGCCCACAAGGUUCUGGUGAUGUGCAUGAUGCUAACAGUAAUGAUGAUGCUGGUGAGCCAACAUGUCUGGGGUGAGGACCCAAACGAACAUGAUCCAAUUGACCCCUACUAUGGUG